rnacentral:rRNA from 1 species
GACGAACGCUGGCGGCGUGCUUAACACAUGCAAGUCGGGCGGUAAGGCCCUUUCGGGGGUACACGAGCGGCGAACGGGUGAGUAACACGUGGGUGACCUGCCCUUAGCUCUGGGAUAAGCCUGGGAAACUGGGUCUAAUACCGGAUAUGACUCCAUGACGCAUGUUGUGGGGUGGAAAGCCUUGUGCGGCUAGGGAUGGGCCCGCGGCCUAUCAGCUUGUUGGUGGGGUGAUGGCCUACCAAGGCGACGACGGGUAGCCGGCCUGAGAGGGCGACCGGCCACACUGGGACUGAGACACGGCCCAGACUCCUACGGGAGGCAGCAGUGGGGAAUCUUGCGCAAUGGGCGAAAGCCUGACGCAGCGACGCCGCGUGGGGA